rnacentral:rRNA from 1 species
GAUGAACGCUGGCGGCGUGCCUAAUACAUGCAAGUCGAGCGAACGGACGAGAAUCUUGCUUCUCUGAUGUUAGCGGCGGACGGGUGAGUAACACGUGUAUAACCUACCUAUAAGACUGGGAUAACUUCGGGAAACCGGAGCUAAUACCGGAUGAUCUUUUGAACCGCAUGGUUCAAAAGUGAAAGACGGUCUUGCUGUCACUUAUAGAUUGAUCCGCGCUGCAUUAGCUAGUUGGUAAGGUAACGGCUUACCAAGGCAACUAUGCAUAUCCGACCUGAGAGGGUGAUCGGACACACUGGAACUGAGACACGGACCAGACGCCUACGGGAGGGAGCAGUAGGGAAUAUUCCGCAAUGGGCGAAAGCAUGACGGAGCAAAGCCGAGUGAGUGAUGAAGGUCUUCGGAUCGUAAAACUCUGUUAUUAGGGAAGAACAUAUGUGUAAGUAACUGUGCACAUCUUGACGGUAACUAAUCAGAAAGCCACGGCUAACUACGUG